GAUGAACGCUGGCGGCGUGCCUAAUACGUGCAAGUCGAGCGAACAGACGAGGAGCUUGCUCCUCUGACGUUAGCGGCGGACGGGUGAGUAACACGUGGAUAACCUACCUAUAAGACUGGGAUAACUUCGGGAAACCGGAGCUAAUACCGGAUAACAUGUUGAACCGCAUGGUUCAACAGUGAAAGACGGUCUUGCUGUCACUUAUAGAUGGAUCCGCGCCGCAUUAGCUAGUUGGUAAGGUAACGGCUUACCAAGGCAACGAUGCGUAGCCGACCUGAGAGGGUGAUCGGCCACACUGGAACUGAGACACGGUCCAGACUCCUACGGGAGGCAGCAGUAGGGAAUCUUCCGCAAUGGGCGAAAGCCUGACGGAGCAACGCCGCGUGAGUGAAGAAGGUCUUCGGAUCGUAAAACUCUGUUAUUAGGGAAGAACAAAUGUGUAAGUAACUAUGCACGUCUUGACGGUACCUAAUCAGAAAGCCACGGCUAACUACGUG
rnacentral:rRNA from 1 species